rnacentral:rRNA from 1 species
AGCGAACGCUGGCGGCAGGCUUAACACAUGCAAGUCGAACGCCCCGCAAGGGGAGUGGCAGACGGGUGAGUAACACGUGGGAACGUACCCUUUGGUUCGGAAUAACUUGGGGAAUCUCAAGCUAAUACCGGAUAAGCCCUUAUGGGGAAAGGUUUACUGCCGAAGGAUCGGCCCGCGUCUGAUUAGCUAGUUGGUGAGGUAAUGGCUUACCAAGGCGACGAUCAGUAGCUGGUCUGAGAGGAUGAUCAGCCACACUGGGACUGAGACACGGCCCAGACUCCUACGGGAGGCAGCAGUGGGGAAUAUUGGACAAUGGGGGCAACCCUGAUCCAGCCAUGCCGCGUGAGUGAUGAAGGCCUUAGGGUUGUAAAGCUCUUUUACCCGGGACGAUAAUGACUGCACCGGGAGAAUAAGCCCCGGCUAACUUCGUGCCAGCCGCCGCUGUAA